rnacentral:rRNA from 1 species
AUUGUCCGGCCUUAGGUGAACAUGUCAAAUUAGCUGAAGCAUAAAGCCUGCGUAAGCCUUUACCAAGGAUGUCUUCUUUAAUCUCGAAUGACAGUUGGCGGAUCGUAGAGGAUCAGAUACAGUCGUUGUCUCAACCAUCAGCUAUGCCGACUAGGGAUGAGUGAACGGUGCAUGUUCGAAUGCAUUAGCACAUUAUGAGAAAUCAAAGUUUUUGGGUUCCGGGGGGAGUAUGGUAGCAAGGCUGAAACUUAAAGGAAUUGACGGAAGGGCACCACCAGGAGUGGAGCCUGAGGCUUAAUUUGAGUUAACAAGGGAAAACUUUCCAGGUCCAGACACAGUAAGGAUUGACAGAUUGAAGAUCUUUCUUGAUUUUGUGGGUGGUGGUGCAUGGCCGUUGUUAGUUGGUGGAGUGAUUUGUGAGGUUAAUUCCGUUAACGAGGGAGACCUCCGGAAUUAAAUAGUUAUUCAAAGUCUUCUUUUAUUGGCAGUGUAUUCUUAGAGGGACUAUCGGUGUGUAUGAUAGGGAAGUUAGAGGCAAUAACAUGUCUGUGAUGCCCUUAGAUGUUUCGGUCAGCGCGCGUAUGAAUCAUGAUGCAUUGCUCAAGUUUACAACGGUGUUUGAGAGGUUAAAGUAAUCCCUUCAACAAAGUUGGGGCUGGGGAUAGGUUAUAGUUAUUGAAUUCUUCAGGGAGGAAAUGUAGUAAAGCGCAAGUAAUCAAAUAGCAUUGAUUAUGUACCAUGCCCUUGGUACACACCGC